ACGGGAGGCAGCAGUGGGGAAUAUUGGGCAAUGGGCGAAAGCCUGACCCAGCAACGCCGCGUGAAGGAAGAAGGUUUUCGGAUUGUAAACUUCUUUUAUCAGGGACGAAGGAAGUGACGGUACCUGAUGAAUAAGCCACGGCUAACUACGUGCCAGCAGCCGCGGUAAUACGUAGGUGGCAAGCGUUAUACGGAUUUACUGGGUGUAAAGGGCGCGUAGGCGGGGAUGCAAGUCAGAUGUGAAAUCCAUGGGCUUAACCCGUGAACUGCAUUUGAAACUGUAUUUCUUGGGUGUCGGAGAGGUAGACGGAAUUCCUAGUGUAGCGGUGAAAUGCGUAGAUAUUAGGAGGAACACCAGUGGCGAAGGCGGUCUACUGGACGAUAACUGACGCUGAGGCGCGAAAGCGUGGGGAGCAAACAGGAUUAGAUACCCUGGUA
rnacentral:rRNA from 1 species